GUGGGGAAUAUUGGACAAUGGGCGAAAGCCUGAUCCAGCCAUGCCGCGUGUGUGAAGAAGGUCUUCGGAUUGUAAAGCACUUUAAGUUGGGAGGAAGGGCAGUAAGUUAAUACCUUGCUGUUUUGACGUUACCGACAGAAUAAGCACCGGCUAACUUCGUGCCAGCAGCCGCGGUAAUACGAAGGGUGCAAGCGUUGAUCGGAAUUACUGGGCGUAAAGCGCGCGUAGGUGGUUUUGUAAGUUGGAGGUGAAAUCCCCGGGCUCAACCUGGGAACUGCCUCCAAAACUGCAUGACUAGAGUACGGUAGAGGGUAGUGGAAUUUCCUGUGUAGCGGUGAAAUGCGUAGAUAUAGGAAGGAACACCAGUGGCGAAGGCGACUACCUGGACUGAUACUGACACUGAGGUGCGAAAGCGUGGGGAGCGAACAGGAUUAGAAACCCCUGUAGUCC
rnacentral:rRNA from 1 species